rnacentral:rRNA from 1 species
GAUGAACGCUGGCGGCGUGCCUAAUACAUGCAAGUCGAGCGAACGGACGAGAAGCUUGCUUCUCUGAUGUUAGCGGCGGACGGGUGAGUAACACGUGGAUAACCUACCUAUAAGACUGGGAUAACUUCGGGAAACCGGAGCUAAUACCGGAUAAUAUUUUGAACCGCAUGGUUCAAAAGUGAAAGACGGUCUUGCUGUCACUUAUAGAUGGAUCCGCGCUGCAUUAGCUAGUUGGUAAGGUAACGGCUUACCAAGGCAACGAUGCAUAGCCGACCUGAGAGAGUGAUCGGCCACACUGGAACUGAGACACGGUCCAGACUCCUACGGGAGGCAGCAGUAGGGAAUCGUCCGCAAUGGGCGAAAGCCUGACGGAGCAACGCCGCGUGAGUGAUGAAGGUCUUCGGAUCGUAAAACUCUGUUAUUAGGGAAGAACAUAUGUGUAAGUAACUGUGCACAUCUUGACGGUACCUAAUCAGAAAGCCACGGCUAACUACGUG